rnacentral:rRNA from 1 species
GUGGGGAAUCUUCCGCAAUGGGCGAAAGCCUGACGGAGCAACGCCGCGUGAGUGAAGAAGGCCUUUGGGUCGUAAAACUCUGUCUUUGGGGAAGAAAUAAAUGACGGUACCCGAGGAGGAAGCCCCGGCUAACUACGUGCCAGCAGCCGCGGUAAAACGUAGGGGGCGAGCGUUGUCCGGAAUUACUGGGCGUAAAGGGCGUGUAGGCGGCUCGUGAAGUCAGGAGUGAAACCCCGGGGCUCAACCCCGGGCGUGCUUUUGAAACCAGCGGGCUUGAGUGCAGGAGAGGGAAGUGGAAUUCCCAGUGUAGCGGUGAAAUGCGUAGAUAUUGGGAGGAACACCAGUGGCGAAAGCGGCUUCCUGGCCUGUAACUGACGCUGAGGCGCGAAAGCGUGGGGAGCAAACAGGAUUAGAUACCCUAGUAGUCC